UUCACUUACUAAUGUGUAGUGCACAGUUUCACAUGGGUGAAAAACAGGUGAAAUUGUGCAUUACAGAUUAGAAAGCACAAAUAAGCCUGUGCGCACCUUGAUCACUGGAGAAACCGUCCCUGUGUGGCAAUCAGUGGUGGUGUAGUGGUUACAGCUGCUAACUAAAAGGCCGGCAGUUCGAAUCCAUCAGGAGCUCCAUGGAAACUCUAUGGGGGCACUUCUACUGUGUCCCAUAGGGUCGCUGUGAGUCCGAAUCAACUGGAUGGCAAUGGGUUUUUUGUUUGUUUUUGGCCUGGCGUCAGCUUCCAUAAAGAUUACAAUUUUGUAAACCCUCUGGGACAAUUCUGUUCUGCCCUUCGGGGCCGCUAUGAGUCAGAAUCGACUCGAGGACAGUGCGUUUGGGUUCUGAACCUCUAUCCAUUUUCAGCCAGGGUUAAGUUGUGACUCCUCAACCUCCCGGCCAUUUCUCGGUACUGGCACAAAAAGACCCGUUUGCCUUUUGUACGUAACGCAUUCAAAGAUGGCUGCUCCCAGGUACCCUGACAAAGAGGGCGGGAACGUAUUCCAAAGUAAACCAAACCCGCCGCCUAGUGGAUUCCGCUUUAAAGCUAUAGGCCAGAUUAGUAUGCCCCAUAGGGUUUCCAAGGAGCAGCUGCUGGAUUUGGACUGCCGAUCUUUAGCCCACAGGUGGUGUCUUGCUAGGAGGAAGAGGAAUCAAGUGAAGAAAGGGAAGGAGAGUCCAAUACUUGGGUAUCAUCAUUUCUGUGAAUACCCUUGACUGGAGACUGAGAUUUUUGAACAGAAAUUCAGAACUGAUCCAGAAGAGACAAAGAUAGAGCAUACCAAUUAGUAACCAUUUCCCAAAUUCGGAAGAAAAUGAUCCAAGUCCAGGAAUCACUGACAUUCAGCGAUGUGGCUGUGAAGUUCACCUGGGAGGAGUGGCAGCUCCUAGACCCUGCUCAGAAGGGCCUGUACCGGGACGUGAUGUUGGAGAACUUUAGCAACUUGAUGUCCGUGGGGUAUCAAGCUAGCAAAGGAGAUGCACUCUCCAUGCUGGAACAAGGACAAGAACUGUGGACGAUGGAAGAUGAAACCCACUGUCGAGCCCAUUCAGAAAUUGAGAAAGUUGAUGAUCAUCUCCAGCGUCACUUGCAAAACCAAAGAAUUCAGAAGUGUUUGGAACAAUGCCAUGAAAAUAAUGCAUCUGGAAAUAUUUUUAAUCAGAGCAAAAGUAAUUUUCCAUUAAAGCAACAUCAUGAUAUGUUUGACUUGCAUGGAAAAACUUUAAAAUCAAAUUUAAGUUUAGAAGACCAGAACAGAAGCUGUGACCUGAAAACCUUUACUGAGUUUAUUGGAGAUGGACAACCCUUUCCCCAAGAUAAGCAUGGAAAAAUUUAUACUGAUAAUGCAUUUUCCGAAAGCGUAAAACCCAUCAGUAACAAGUCCCAGAUCAUUAGCCAUCAGAGAACUGCCAAAAUAGUGAAUGUGCAUGUAUGCAGUGAAUGUGGAAAAGCCUUCUUCAAGAAGUCUCAGUUCAUUGGUCAUCAGAUGGUUCAUACAGGAGAGAAGCCUCAUGGAUGCAGUACGUGUGGGAAAGCAUUCUCCAGAAAAUACAGGCUGACUGAACACCAGAGGAUUCAUGCAGGGCUGAAACACUAUGAAUGCACUGAAUGUGACAAAACCUUCCUCAAGAAAUCACAACUAAAUAUACAUCAGAAAAUACAUAUGGUAGAGAAACCGUAUACAUGCAGUGAAUGUGGGAGAGCCUUCAGCAAGAAGUGUUUGCUCAUUUAUCAUCAGCGAACUCAUACAGGAGAGAAACCUCAUGGAUGCAAUCUGUGUGGGAAAGCCUUCUGUACAAAGUCCAGCCUUACUACUCAUCAGAAAACUCAUACGGGAGAGAAGCCCUAUAUAUGCAGUGAAUGUGGAAAAGGCUACAUGGAGAAGAGGCGCCUUAUUGCACACCAUCUAACCCACACUGGAGAGAAACCGUUUAUAUGUAAUGAAUGUGGUAAACGGUUCACUUUGAAGAACAGUCUUAUCGCGCAUCAGCAAACUCAUACAGAAGAGAAAUCAUAUACUUGCAGUGAAUGUGGAAAAGGCUUUUCCAUGAAGCACUGUCUUAUCAGACAUCAGCGAAUUCAUACUGGAGAGAAACCCUAUAUAUGCACUGAGUGUGGAAAAGGCUUCCCCCUGAAGAGUCCUCUCGUUAGACACCAGCGAACACAUACAGGAGAGAAACCUUAUGUAUGUAGUCAAUGUGGAAAAGGCUUCACCAUGAAGAUCGAUCUCAUCAUACAUCAGCGUAUUCAUACUGCAGAGAAACCAUAUAUGUGCAAAGAUUGUGGAAAAGGCUUUACCGUGAAGAGCCGUCUCAUUGAACAUCAGCGAACUCAUACAGGUGAGAAACCUUAUUUAUGCAGUGAAUGUGGAAAAGGCUUCUCAGCUAAGAUCCGGCUAAUUGGACAUCAGCGAACUCAUACAGGAGAGAAGCCGUAUGUAUGCAGUGAAUGUGGAAAAUGCUUCACUGAGAGGAGCCAUCUCAAUGUACAUCGGCGCACUCAUACUGGAGAGAAACCCUAUAUAUGCAACGAGUGUGGGAAAGCUUUAAGUGGGAAAAGUGUGCUCAUUGCACAUCAGCGAACUCAUACUGGAGAGAAACCUUAUGUAUGCAAUGAAUGUGGAAAAGGCUUUGCUAGGAAGAGUAAUCUUGUUGAUCAUCAGCGAUCUCAUACAGGGGAAAAAUCUUAUAUAUGCGGUGAAUGUGGAAAAAGCUUUACUGUGAAGCGCACUCUCCUUAUACAUCAACAAGCUCAUGUUGCAGAGAAAUCAUAUCUAUACAGUGAAUUUGAACAGGCUUCAAAACAAAAUGCACUCUCGUUAUACAUAAGCGAACUUAUACUGAAGUGAAAUCCUGUGGAUAGUUAAAUUUUAUGUGUCAACUUGACUAGCCUAUGUUUCCCAGUUGUUUGGUCAAACACCACUCUAGUUGCUAUCAUAGAGUAGUUACCUGUGAUUAAAGCAUUUGGCCUUGGGUAGAGCAGAUUACCUUCCAUAAUGUAAUUCAAUCACCCACCAAAAUGCACUCUAAUUUAAUAUAGUCAAUCAUUUGAGGUCAUAUCAGUGUAGGGUGGAUCUUAGACCUAAUGACUUACGAGUUAUAAGAAGACAAGAAUAGAUACAGGGACACAUACCCACGGGAAGACAACAUGUGGGGAUCAUCUACAAGCAAAUGACCAAGGAUCGUUGUCAGACACCAGAAACUAGGAGAAAGGCUCACAGAUGGAAUUGACAUGGCUGAGACCCUGAUUUUAGCCUCCAGAACUGUGAGAAAAUAAAUUUCUGUUCUUCAAAGGCAACCACUUGUGGUAUUUCUGUUAUGCCAGCACUAGGAAACAAGGGCACCCUAUGAAUGCAGCCAGAAGAUAGGUCUCAAACAAUGUGAGAUAUGUUAUAUAGGAAAGACUCCGUUUGUAUGUACUGAGUGCGGAAAAUCGUAUUUGCACAAAUACGAUCUCAUUACGCAUCAGAGAAUUCACUCGUAGAGAAACCACAUGUGUGCAGUGAAUGCGGGAAAGCCUUCACCACAAAGUCAGUAUUCAGUGUACAUCAAUGAACUCACAUGGGAGAGAGACCAUAUGGAUGCAGCAAUUGUGAGAAGGCUUUCUCCCACUUGUCAAACCUUGUUAAACAUAAGAGAAUGCACACGAGAAAUGUGUAGAUUCAGUCAAGUUUGAAGUUCCUUUAACAGAGUCAAAGCUCUUUACAAACAAGGGGUCUCAUGUAGAAGAAAAACCCUCUGUUUGGUUAUAUUAUUCCAUUCCCAAAGACCACAGCCUUCAAUAUGGAUUACACUUCAACAGAAAGAAAACAAAAAUCCUCACAACUGGCUCAGUAAGCAACAUCAUGAUAAAUGGAAAAAGAUUGAAGUUGUCAAAGAUUUCAUUUUACUUGGAUCCACAAUCAACACCCAUGGAAGCAGCAGUCAAGAAAUCAAACAACACAUUGCAUUGGGCAAAUCUACUGCAAGAGACCUCUUUAAAGUGUUAAAAAGCAAAGAUAUCACCUUGAAGACUGAGGUGCACCUGACUGAAACCAUGGUGUUUUCAAUCACCUCAUAUGCAUGAAAAAUGAAUAAGGAAGACCUAAGAAGAAUUGAUGCCUUUGAAUUGUGGUGUUGGCUAAGAAUAUUGAAUAUACAAUGGACUGCCAAAAGAACAAACAAAUGUCUUGGAAGAAGUACAGCCAGAAUCCUCCUUAAAGCACAGAUGGCGAGACUUCAUCUUACAUACUUUGGACAUGUUAUUAGGAGGGAUCAGUCCCUGGAGAAGGACAUCAUGCUUGGUAAAGUUGAGGGUCAGUGAAAAUGAGGAAGACCCUCUCAACAAGAUGGACUGAUGCAAUAGCUUCAACAAUGGGCUCAAGCAUAACAAGGAUUGUGAGCAUGGUGCAGGACUGGACAGUGUUUAGUUUUGUUGUACACAGGGUUGCUAUGAGUUGGAACUGACUGAAUGGCACCUAACAACAACAACAGCCAUAGUCUUUGUAACUCCCACCAAAUGACUGGGCGGGACUAUGUAAAUGAGGUGAUUUUGGCCCACUAAACUGGAUAGUUUGCUAAUCAUGUAAAUAAGGCACAUGGCACUCAUAACGACGGUACAGGACAGAGUAGAACUGUCCUGUAGGGUUUCCAAGGAGCACCUGGUGGAUUCCAACUGCCAACCUUUUUUGAUUAGCAGCCGAGCUCUUAACAGCAUGACACCAGGCCACUCUUGUAGGGAUGCGACCAUGAAAAUAAGGUGUAGGAGCCCUGAUGAGGGAACUGAUCAGUUUUGCCACCCAACUGGGUUUAAAAUGAGCCAUCCCAGAGGCAGAGGGUGUACCUCAAGACCAUCAAGAAAGAUGAGAUGGGAGUGGAGUGCAUCCUUUUGACCCAGGAUCCCUGCACUGAGAAUCUCCUAGAAUCAGGAGGCUGAGAGAGAGAGAGCUGUAACAACAGAAGACAACAAGAGUCAGCAGCACAGCAGUAGCAAGAGUGAUAACAGUGGGAAAAAGCAGGAACCAGGAACAGUUGACAUCAGAAAUGGUAUUCAUUGCCAUGGCUCCAGACUCAUGGAACCAUGGGACUUUGUAAGAGAAAGAACAAGGCAGCAUGGGAAAUGAAAUUUUUGAUUCUUAGAUGCUUACUUUGGUUGUUUUACCUGUAAUGGCUGAAAGGAAAUUUAGAGAUGUUAUGCUGCAGGUGAGGGGAGAAAAAGGAAUCCUGGUGACAAAGUCAUUAAAGAGCUCAGCUGCUAACCAAAAGGUAGGCAGUUCAAACCCACCAGCCAUUCCAUGGGAGAAAGAUGUGAUGGCCUGCUCUUGUAAAGAUCUAUAGCCUCAGAAACCCUAUGGGGCUGUUCUACUUUGUCCUAUAGAGUUCAUAUGAUUUAGAAUUGCCUUGAGAGCAAUAGUUUGGUUUGGUUUGGUUUGAGGAGAGAAAAGCUGCAUCUGGAGUGGCUUUGGGCAAAAGCCACGCAAGAUAAGCAGGGUGAUUGAUAGGGGGCAAGGGUAUUCUGGUUCCAUCCAGUUGGAGGCCCAAGACCAUAAGCAUAUGAAUGGGAAGAUAGUCAAGGUGUGGAGAAGAUGAAACUAGAAUGUUUUAAAAAGGGUUUUGUGUUUAUCUGCGUGAAAAAUGGAUAUUGAAUGUUUCUUCUACCUCAUGUUGUAAAACAGAGCUAAAAUAUAUGAUGGAUAUGAAUGUUGGGUAUUACAGAUUACAGACAGGGUGUAACUCCACUUUCAGCCAAUACUUGAUUGCAUAUGCUAAGAGGGAAACUAGGAUUUGCCUGAAAGAAACACUGGCUUUCAGCCGGGAUCCAUCUGACAUCAGCUAUGAUAUCCCUGGUUCCAUGUCUUCUUCUGAAUCCAGCCUGAAUUUCUGGCAGUUCCCUGUCAAUGUAUUGCUGCUGCCACUUUUGAGUGAUCCUCAGCAAAAUUUUACUUGUGUGUGAUAUUAAUGAUAUUGCUCCAUAAUUUCUCCAUUUCAUUGGAUCACUUUUCUUUGGGAUAGGCAUAAAUAUGGAUCUGUUCCAGUUAGUUGGCCAAGUAGCUGUCUUUCAAAUUUCUUGGCAUAGACAAGUGAGCACUUCCAGCACUGCAUCCAUUUGUUGAAACAUCUCAAUUGGUAUUUCAUCAAUUUCUGGGAUGAGCUGACCAAAAUCCAACCAAGGAAAGAGAAAGGUUUUUGACACUGUGAGCUGGUAAAAUUGCUUCAAUUUGAAGACUUGCUCUGGACUGGAUUUUGCUUAUGGUUGUAGAUGCUCAAAGUUCCAAGCUGAACAGAAGAUGUUCAGAGCAAGGAAUAUGUUUGUCUCCACAGAUUACUGUUUUGAUUUUAAAAACCCACUGUGGUCGAUUCCGAUUUAUAGCGACCUUAUAGGACAGAGUAGAACUGCCCAUACGGUUUCCAAGGAGUGCCUGGUGGAUUAGAACUGCUUACCUUUUGGUUAGCAGCCAUAGCUCUCAACCACAGCACCACCAGGGUUUGCACUGUUUUGAUAGGGAUGGGCAAUUUAAACAUAGGCUAUCUGAAACGGGGGAGAUGGAGGCAUGAAGUGGCUGGCUAACACACUUCUGUGAGUGUGCUGACACUCAAAAUGAUGGGGACAAGUGAGGACCCCACUAAAUAGUUUCCUUUUUUCCUGAUGGGUCUGGGGAAGAGAAGGUGGGGAAAGGUGCUGAUAGGAUUAUAUGAUUCAAUUUUGAAUGCUGAUUGUUAGCAGGGUUAAUUGUGAUUGUAAAAAACUGUAAUGUAGAAGUAGUUACUGUGAAGGUAUGAGUUAAGGGGGGGGGGCACUGCUGGACUGGAGUACAGUGGCCCAACCUAAUGUCCCUUAAAGAUUUUGCUAUGCUGAUACCUCGUGAGGCUCAGAGCAAAGGGAUAAUCUUCCCUCAGUUAAAGUUUAUCAGAGGCCAGAGAGGGUGAAGCUGAGACUAAUUUUGGAGAACCUGACUAGAUUGGGUGGGUACCUGAACAGCUGGUACCUGAGUAAUCUCACCCUGAGACUCUUUUCCCUACUGAAGGGACUAAUUCUUAAUGACUGUUUUGCACUGGUAAAAUGGUGUGGAAGUAGAAAUUAAUCCUUCAAGCAUCAAAGGACUAAUGGCUAGAAGAGCCAGGGGGUGGCCUGUGGUGCAGUGAAUUACUUAAUAUUACCCUUCUUGCCAUAGUCUUUGUAACUCCCAACAAAUGACUAGGUGGGACUACGGGAAUGAAGUGCUUAUGGCCCACCAAGGGGAUUGGAUAGCUUGUUAAUAAUGCAAAUAAGGUGCAUGGCACCCUUGUGGAAGUGGGACCAUCCAAAUAAGGUGUAUGGAACCCUAAUGAAGGAACUGGUCAGUUUUGAUAUCUUGCUAGGCUUAAAAUGAGCCAUCCCAGAGGUGGACAGGGGGCAUCUCAUGACCACCAAGAAAGAGGAGCCAGGAGUGGAGCACAUCCUUUGGACCCAGGAUCCCUGUGCUGAAAAUUUCCUAGAAGCAGGAGACCAAGACAGAGAGCUGUAACACCAGAGAUGGUGAGAAGUGGUGGCAGAGAAAUGCUGGGAGCAGAGGCAGCAGAGCCAGGAGAGUGGCAGGAGAUGGCACUGUGGUUGUGCUGACCCACGGAGUGAGAGAACUAAGCACCUCUGGGCAGGAGGUUUGCUGGUGGAGUAGGGCCUCUGGGCACCUAUUGGUGGAGCUAAAAGAGCUUUGUAACACUUGCCAGAGCAGGCAGAAGCUAGGCCAAGGGGCUGAGGGGCCAAAGGUCAGGGAGAGGGCUACCUGCCUAUGGCACCGCUGAGAAGAGACUGUUCUGACUGAAGAACUGUAUCCUGGGCAUUCCUGAACUUGAAAUGUAUCCUUUUACUUCCCUAAUAACAGUAUGCUCUAUGUGUUCUGCGAGGCCAUUGCAACGAAUUAUCGAACCCAGCAAAGAAACAGUGCUUUGGGAGGGACAGGUGGUGUCAGAAUUGGUAAAAAAGAUUUUAGGGCAGAAGCAUUUCUGACCUCUGCCUCAGAGCAACCAGCCUUGGGCUGUUGGUGCUGAUAAUGAUUCUCUCCCCUCUGGUAUAUUAGAAGUCAGAUGCCUCCACCACACCAUUUUUACACCUGUUUAUUUUUUACAUUUUUAAGUUAGCCAUCUUUCUCAUUCCCUUUAAGAUCUCUUUAUAUUUGGGGAUUUUUCUUAAUUACUGCAUUGCCUAGGACAUCCAGUUCAAUGUUGAAUAAAAGUAAUGGUGAGUGGUACUCUAGACUUGUUCCUGACUUGUUUGGUGUCUUCACAGUUUAAUAUAUCGUGAGGCAUUUCAAAACUGCAUAAAGCUAUAUAGCAUGCAUCCAUGGAACACCACCACCCAGAUUUGACAGAUAUCAAAAUGUUUCCACUACUGUUUCAUAUUUCUCAAUGAAACGCUUCAUGUAGACUUGAAGCCUUCUUAUUCUAAUCUGGCUCUCUCUUUGCCCAGGUAGUCGUAGUACUUAAUUUGCUGUGCAUGGUUCUUUCCAUAUUUUUACACCUUUUCUACACAUGUGAUAUACAUGAUUUCCUAUUAAAUGGUAAAAACAAACAAAAAUCAAACCAAACCCAUUGCCAUCCAGUUGAUUUGGACUCAUAGCAACCCUAAAGAACAGAGUAGAAUUGCCCCAUAGGGCUUCCAAGGAGCUGGUGGAUUUGAACUGCCAACCUUUCGGUUAGCAACCUUAGUUCUUAACCACUACACCACCAGGUUUUCCAUUAAAUGGUAAAAAAUAUACAUAAAUGGUAUCAUGGUGUUCACAUCCUUUUUCUUAAGUGGUUUCUAAAAAUUUCGGUAACCUUCAUUCCUGUACAGUCAGACGU